rnacentral:lncRNA from 1 species
CUCACGUCCUGUGGCCAUUGUAUAUCUUCCUGGACACAUUGUCCAGAGCUUGGGUCAGAGGUGGCACUUAUGAGGGUCUGUUCUGCUGGGUGUAGUGGCACAUGCCUUUUAAUCCCAGCAUUCAGGAGGCAGAGGUAGGAGGGUCUCUGUGAAUCUGAGGCCAACCUGAUCUACAUAAUGAGUUUCAGGAUAGCCAGAGAUACGUAGUGAGACCCUGUUUCAAAAACAAACAAAUGCAACCAACAAAUAAACAAACCAAUAAACACUAGGGUCCUUUCUUGCUUGAGUGUUGCUUGAAGUCCAUUCCUCCUGAUGGGAAACACAGAAUGGGAACUGAAAUUCUUGAGAAGCCACUUCUCCAUUUGUGUUCAGGAUUUUAAUGGGAAGGAGCUGGGGUGGGGUUGGAAGUGUGCUAUGAUGCUUGUUAGCACCAAGUUUCCCCUACAGAUUUUGGAAGGCUGCCGCCCGAACCUCCACCCUAAACAAUUCUUGUAGGCCUACUUACAGAUGUUGCUAGAAACCCUAAUAUAGGUCCUUUACAUUUACAAAAUUAACAGAAAUAAUAGACCUGAAAACAUAAAACUGACACACCACGGAAAAGCAGGCGAUGAGGGUGUGGACUGCAACACAUCAGAUAACACAGAUAACAAACCUGCUCUGUCACCCAGCCCAUUCCAACCCUCCAGGCAUCACAGAAACCGCACAGAAACAAAGACUGAAAAAGAAAGUUACCUAGUGUGGCGCCAAGUGACUCAAUGAAAGGGGGUGUCAUGUACGGAAACAGACAUAAAUAGCAAAAACAGGACAGACAUCAGACAGGACAAACCGUGUGGCAGAGGAAUGGUGCCCCAAACCAAAAUUACAAACAACCCUUGGACUUUCAUCCACAGCAGAACCAAGGGUUCCAGAAACACAUCUGCUUCUGGCACAUGUCUGCUUUCCCUAUGGUCAAAAUCAAACUACCCUCGGACUUUCGUAAAGGGCAGAACUCAGGGUCUCGGAACAUGUCUG